GUACUACUCCCUCCGUUACAAAUUACUUGUCGCGGGUAUGGAUAUAUCUAGAUGUAUUUUAGUUCUAGAUACAUCCAUUUCUGAGACGAGUAAUUUGGAAAGGAGGGAGUACUUC
rnacentral:pre_miRNA from 1 species